rnacentral:rRNA from 1 species
UGCUUAACACAUGCAAGUCGAACGGGAUGCUUAGGCAUCUAGUGGCGGACGGGUGAGUAACGCGUGAGAAUCUGGCUCCAGGUCGGGGAUAACAGUUGGAAACGACUGCUAAUACCGGAUGUGCCGAGAGGUGAAAGAUUUAUUGCCUGGAGAUGAGCUCGCGUCUGAUUAGCUAGUUGGUGGUGUAAGGGACCACCAAGGCGUCGAUCAGUAGCUGGUCUGAGAGGAUGAUCAGCCACACUGGGACUGAGACACGGCCCAGACUCCUACGGGAGGCAGCAGUGGGGAAUUUUCCGCAAUGGGCGAAAGCCUGACGGAGCAAUACCGCGUGAGGGAGGAAGGCUCUUGGGUCGUAAACCUCUUUUCUCAAGGAAGAAGAAAGUGACGGUACUUGAGGAAUAAGCAUCGGCUAACUCCGUGCCAGCAGCCGCGGUAAUACGGAGGAUGCAAGCGUUAUCCGGAAUGAUUGGGCGUAAAGGGUCUGCAGGUGGAACUGAAAGUCUGCUGUUAAAGAGUUUGGCUUAACCAAAUAAAAGCGGUGGAAACUACAGAACUAGAGUGCGGUAGGGGCAAAAGGAAUUCCUGGUGUAGCGGUGAAAUGCGUAGAUAUCAGGAAGAACACCGGUGGCGAAAGCGUUUUGCUAGACCGUAACUGACACUGAGGGACGAAAGCUAGGGGAGCGAAUGGGAUUAGAUACCCCAGUAGUCCUAGCCGUAAACGAUGGAUACUAGGCGUGGCUUGUAUCGACCCGAGCCGUGCCGGAACUAACGCGUUAAGUAUCCCGCCUGGGGAGUACGCACGCAAGUGUGAAACUCAAAGGAAUUGACGGGGGCCCGCACAAGCGGUGGAGUAUGUGGUUUAAUUCGAUGCAACGCGAAGAACCUUACCAAGACUUGACAUCCUGCGAAUCCCGGUGAAAGCUGGGAGUGCCUUAGGGAGCGCAGAGACAGGUGGUGCAUGGCUGUCGUCAGCUCGUGUCGUGAGAUGUUGGGUUAAGUCCCGCAACGAGCGCAACCCUCGUUUUUAGUUGCCAGCAUUAAGUUGGGCACUCUAGAGAGACUGCCGGUGACAAACCGGAGGAAGGUGAGGAUGACGUCAAGUCAGCAUGCCCCUUACGUCUUGGGCUACACACGUACUACAAUGCUACGGACAGAGGGCAGCAAGCCAGGGAUGGCAAGCGAAUCCAGAAACCGUAGCUCAGUUCAGAUCGAAGGCUGCAACUCGCCUUCGUGAAGGAGGAAUCGCUAGUAAUUGCAGGUCAGCAUACUGCAGUGAAUUCGUUCCCGGGCCUUGUACACACCGCCCGUCACACCAUGGAAGUUGGUCACGCCCGAAGUCAUUACCCCAACCGAAAGGAGGGGGAUGCCUAAGGUAGGACUGGUGACUGGGGUGAAGUCGUAACAAGGUAGCCGUACCGGAAGGUGUGGCUGGAUCACCUCCUUU